rnacentral:rRNA from 1 species
UACGGGGGGAGCAAGCGUUGUUCGGAUUUACUGGGCGUAAAGGGCGCGUAGGCGGCGCAACAAGUCACUUGUGAAAUCUCCGGGCUUAACCCGGAGCGGCCAAGUGAUACUGUCGUGCUAGAGUGCGGAAGGGGCUACUGGAAUUCUCGGUGUAGCGGUGAAAUGCGUAGAUAUCGAGAGGAACACCUGCGGCGAAGGCGGAUCUCUGGGCCAUUACUGACGCUGAGGAGCGAAAGCGUGGGGAGCGAACAGG